rnacentral:piRNA from 1 species
CUCUGGAUCAGAGGGUCUCGUCGA